rnacentral:lncRNA from 1 species
CAAAUGUUGUUGUCCCCCCUCCCCUUCUCCCCGGGCCUUUAGUCCAGGUCUGUCAAGCCUGUUUGGCCGCUUGGAAAAAACUUCCUCCAAAGAACGGUGCUUCUGCAACUUUAACUAAGGUCCUUCAGGGACCUGAUGAGCCAUACAGUGCCUUCAUCAGCCGACUCGCUGAAAAGGCUGAACGGCUGUUUGGCAUACAAGAGCCUGAGAAUCCCUUUAUAAAACUACUUGCUUAUGAGAACGCCAACCCAGCCUGCCAAGAUAUUUUAAAACACCACUGUUCUAAGACCUUAGUUGAAUAUGUUUGCCUAUGUGCUGGAGCGGGGACCAGUCAUGCUAUCGGACUAGCAAUUGGUGCUGUCCUACAGUGGGCUGGGGUGUCAAACACCCCCAAGACCUGCUUUAAUUGCAAACAGGUG